CCUGCCUCGCCACUGCAGGCCUGUCCCUUUGCUUUCUUAAAACUGCGCACCGUCUGAGGCCACUUCGAGCCUACUGGAUCCCUGGUUCCAACCCAGUAGGAUCACAGAAGCAGGGCCAGCUGCCAGGAGAAAAAGUUGUUCUCUUCUACCAAAUUUUCCUGCCAUCAAAUGCUCAUUGAGUGACAAUAGAGAAAGCACCAUCAUCCUGAAGCAUCAGAUUGGGAGAAAAGUCCGCUCUCGAGAGCAUCAACUAUGUAGAAAGGGGACCAAGUAAAGGCAAAAUAGACCUUCAGAGAAAUAAAGUCUGGGAAAUUGACUAGAUCCUCACUGAAAGAACUACUAAAGGAUGUACUUAUGGAAGAAGAAAAUUACAAAGUGAAAGAACUGGGAUGCAAGAAGUAAUGUUCCCAACAUGAUGUGAACAACAUCUGUGCUGGUUGAAUGAAUGAAUGGUGUUGAAAGCAUCUACAUCAGGGGUGUCCAAUCUUUCAGCUUCCCUGGGCUACACUGGAAGAAGAAUAAUUUUCUUGCACCACAUAUAAAAUACACUAACACUACUGAUAGCUGAUGAGCUAAAAAAAAAAAAUCGCAAAAAAAUCUCAUGUUUUAAGAAAGUUUAUGAAUUUGUGUUGGGCCACAUCCAAAGCCAUCCUGGGCUGCAUGCAGCCUGCAGGCCAUGGGUUGGACAAGCUUGACUACAGCUUUAAAGUGAUCUUAAUCUAAUCAAUUCUUCCCCAUUCAGAAGAAACCUACUACAUCAGAGUCUAUUGAGAAUCUAUCUCCCUAAUCACCCUCAGGCACAGGGUUAUUAUGUAUUGAUAUCAUACACACUAAAAAAUUCCAUCAUACAGGUCUAGAAAUACUUCCAUAAUACAGUAAUAUUUUAAUAGAGUCAUAACACACAGACAGCCACCCAUUCUGCCUGUAGCCAGUCAUGGAGCAAUACAUUUUGUACAUAACCUGUAAUUUCUUCUGGAGAGUGUAAUUACAAUGCCAAUAUGACAUUUUAUUUUUAUUAUUAUUAUUUAGUUAGUUAGUUAGUUACUUUUUGAGACAGAGUCUCACUCUGUCGCCAGGCUGGAGUGCAGUGGUGUGAUCUCGGCUCACUGCAACCUCUGCCUCCCGGGUUCAAGUGAUUCUUCUGCCUCAGCCUCCCGAGUAGCUGGGACUAUGGGUGCCCACCACCACACCUGGCUAAUUUUUGUAUUUUUAGUAGAGAUGGGGUUUCACCAUGUUAGCCAGGAUGGUCUAGGGGUUGAUAAACUACAGUGCACAGGCCAAAUCUGGUUUACUGCCUGAUUUUGUAAAUAAAGUUUUAUUGGAACACAGCCUUGCCCAUUUAUUUACUUAUUGUCUCUGACUGCUUUCAUGCUACAAUAGAGUAGUUGCAACAGAAACUAUAGUCUGCAAAGCCUAAACUAUUUACAACCUGGACCUUUAGAGAAAGUUUGCUGACUCUUUUUUUAAUGGAUAAACUAAAAGUAUGUAAGUAAACAUGAUUUCAUGUCUUAUGAUAUGUCAGGUGAAUGGUACAAUCCUUUGGUUUAAGUUCUUAGUAUUAUACCUA
ensembl:lncRNA RNASEH2B-AS1 RNASEH2B antisense RNA 1